CCCGAAGGUUAAGGGCAAUAUGUCAGAAAACCUGGUCAGGUCCGAAAGGAAGCAGCCAUAUUUGGCCGCUAUUGGGUCUUAACCUUCAUAUGA
rnacentral:SRP_RNA from 1 species